GUGGAUAAGGCCACGGAGUAGGUCUCCGCCUCGGCCUCGCCUCGAGCGCCUGCUGCCUCCGCGGCUGAUGAGCAGUAGCGCCUCCAAACCCACCAGUCCGCGACCCACCUCGCCUCGGUGACCGCAGUUCUACUAUGGCCGGUGCGCCGUUAUGCCGUUGCGGCCUCAAGCCGGCGCCCCCGAGCUUCCUCCUCCGCCAUGGCUCUUCGCUACCGCCACACAAUGCGGCCUGUCACCGCGGCCUGCUUCAACUCGCCCGCUUCUCCCGGGCGCCCGCGCUCCUGCUUCUGAAGUCAAGCCGCCGGCCGCCCGUCGUAAGCACGGGCCGCCUGCCGCCUUCAUAGGCCAUCGCCGCAUCAGCCGCCGCAGCCUCAUCGCUCUGAGUCGCUGCUGGCUGGCGGGUCGCCUGAUUCUGACUCCGCCUCGCCACCGCGUGUUCACCGGCGCGUUUCCGAGCCGUCUCCAAGGUCUGGCUUUGAGCCGCCACCGGAGAGCCGCCCCGCGCCGGUGAGCCGCCACGACUGUCACGGCCUCCGAGCCGCCCUUGCCGGGGUGCCAAACUGCUGAUGAGGUCGACCUGCUUCAAGUCGUCGCCGUGACCUUCGCCAAUUCUCCUCAGUAGACGCGGGUUGUUUUCUGCUGUGGCCUUGCCUCGCGGUCCGCCGUUGCCUCCGUGGCCGGCUUCUGCCGCGUGUUAUUACCGCUCUAAACCACUGCCGCUCUCAAAUCCUGAUAUAAGUAUCUAGGGAGAACAUGGGCUCUCUCAGAGCUUAGCCAUUGUCGGCCGUUGGAUCGAUUUUUUGAUGCGACUUCGUCCGUCCGAUCUCGUUGCUGGACGAUCCUGGCGGUUGGAUCAAAAAAGAGCACUGCUACAAUGAAUAGUUAGCUCUCGCUCGUGCCACCACGGGUAAUUUCCUUGCCCCGCCGUGGGCAUUUUCGUAAUUUCGCGCACGGGGUAUAAAAGGGGCUGCUCCCGUGGAGAUAGCCCUAGCCCGCUCGCUCCCACACUCGCGCGCGGCCGCCUGCUCCCCACGCCGCCGCCCUCGCCGCCUCCGCCUCCGCUCGCCCUCGCCGCCGCCUCCGCUCGCCCUCGCCGCCACCUCCGCUCGCCCUCGCCGCCGUCGCGUCUUCUCCUCCUCCCCGCCCUCUCGGUGCUACUACCAGGCGAGCGCGAGCAGCCAGAGAGGAACGGCCACGGGCCUCUCCCUCAGCGGCGCUGGCUCACUUUGCAGGCCCCCUGCCUCGUGGGGCUCAUGGCCCCCUCCCUCCGCGGCACCGGCGCCGGCGGCUCCCUCCUCCGCAGGCUCCCUGCCUCGUGGGGCCUGCCGGCCUCGCGCACGAACGACUCGUCGCCGGCGCCUCCUUCAACUAGAUCCUGCACGCCAAGAAGGCCGUUGCCGCCUCCUGCAAGGACGAACCAGACGCCGUGGCCCAGAAUUGGAGCCUUUGAAGGAUUUGAAUGAAGCAUAUGUAUGCAUGCUAUGGUUCAUCUUAGGUGAGUGCGAAUCUUCAACAUCUGUCUCAUGUCGCUUCUGGGAAAAUGCUUUUAAUUGUUUUAUUAUCGAUGAUAUCAAUUUGGUAGCAGCCUUUGAGUGGUGGCAAGAUUAUGUGCAUAGUAUACUUUCAGCACUGUAGGAUCGAGUAAAUGGAGCGGUGGUUCAUGCAUCACUCCCCGCCAAUACGAUGGAAUUAGUCACAAUGAUGACUUGAACUGCCGAUAUUUGAUCUGGGGACAAUUGCAACUGCCACUAAUGGUUUCUCCAUCGGUAACAAGCUUGGCGAGGGUGGCUUUGGACCAGUAUAUAAGGUUAGAUGUUCAACGAAUUGAUUCUUCGGCAUCCAAGCUAGGUUUAUGUGGCAUCAAAGGCCACGGGCCCACGGUACAUGCUGUACUGACAUAUAUUCAGUCCAUUAUAAAUAUUUACCCUCCAUUUUCAGUGUAGAUUUUUUUCUCUUUUGAGGAUAUUCAGUUCAGAAAAUUAUUUACCAUUAUCUUGCAAAGUAGCAUAGCAAAGUGUAAGAAUAUUUUUCCAAGACCAGUAGCCGUUCCCAUAUAAAAUAUUAAUUCCCAUUUGAUGUCAGUUUUACAUUGCUCUUUCAACCGUCAAAAGAUAAAUAAUAUCCUUAGGAAUAAGACAUCAAAGCUUUGUAUGUGUUUUUCAAUGAGAUUCAGCUGCUAAACAAUUGCUAUGAAGGCAACAUCUGUUUAUUUUACAUGCUGAUUUUCUUAACUACAUUAACUUCCAAAGUAUUUAUUUUGUUGAUCAAGAAAUAUCACUCUACUGUCAGAUAAGAAGGUCUCUCUGUAAGGAGGAUUUUUUAUGUUAUGUACUUUGCUCCCAGAGAUAAUUUGAUCCACCAGCAUUAUUGAUUCUGUUAGGUAUUGUCAGUUAACUGUACGUCUUCUUCUUUACCCCUUAUUCUUCUCCUUCUUUACCUUUGAUGAUUCAAGGAUAGGCCCUCCGCCGCCGCAGCUGCGCUUUAUUGAACUAAGUUGUUCUCUUUUUGAGAGAGUAUUGCGCUAAGAUGUUUUAUAUCCUUAUUAUAGGGAUACAAGCUCCGUGAACCAUUCAUGUAGUUACCGAUUUUAGACAGAUUUUGUUUCAGUUAUGAAGGUUUAGAGAGAUAUAUGAAUGAUCUGGAGUUUCAGUUAUCAUUUGAGCUACUUCCCCAUUCGUAUUCUUAACAUUAAUCCAUCCUAUUAGUAUUAAUUAAUUAUGAUGCUGCCAUGUUCAUUUCUGCCCUUGGAGGGAGAUGAAUAUAUGGUGCUGCCAGCGCAGCACUUAAGGGCAUGGAGGCUGACAAGGCGAAAGAGGCAUGUUCUCAACCACCAAAUUACGAUGUUGAGCAGUUCCCGAGCGGAAGAUAGCAAGGCGGUUGACGUAGGAUACAGAGUAAGCAGAGCUAGCGGCAGUGGACACAGCUACCACGUUGGUGGGCGCACCAGAGGCACAACACACGGUGGACAUCGAGAAUGUAGUGCACAUCAAAGCAGUCGCCGCUCUGCGGUAAAUUAGAUAGACAAAAUACAUGACAUGUUAGGCUGUUACUCGCUAGCAGCAGAAAUAUUCAGCUUAUUCAUGAGGUAACAGCAGGGUCUGUUGCGCUGAAUCUUUGAGAUGAAACCAAACCAAACUAAUACAUACCUAGCAUCUGUCCAGAAGUCUUGAUUACGGAAUAUAUAUGGUCCCAUUUUAAGUUUCAUAGGAUAUCCUCGGUUAUCUGUUCUUUUGUAGGGAUUUGAGAAAAAAGAAAAGAAAAAACACUUAUAAUAAGGCAAUGGCUUCGUGAGAAAGCACAAGAAAUAUCGUUGCGUGGCAGCAAGGCAUACCUUAAUUUGCUUCAUGGUGAACUGGAAAUGUGCUUUUAUGUCAAACUGAAAAAAUAUAUAUGUUGUCUGCUAGCACCGUAAUAUGUCCAUCCAUUAACCACUAUUUUGUCGAAAUACAUGCCUCUGCUUCUGGUUAUUACAAGCUAGGUAGUAUUGUGGCAGUGAUCGGAAACUUCUACACAACUCAUCACCAUCAUGUCCAUGCCCCAGACUUGGGUGAGUGCUCAAGGAAGAAUUUUGUAGUUCCACUGUUGGAUUCCAAGCAGGCAAUUCAUGAUCAGCCUUGCGCAAGCUAUGGAGUUUCAAGAAAUCGAUUGACAGGUGGAGUGACUGCUGGGGUCAUAAACGAAGAAACAAUGAAGUCACUGGACAACAAAGCAGAUUAUUUAUUCCCAAUGUCGUUGCUCUUGCAAAAUUGCAGGCCUAUUGGUUAUGUGAUAAGCAACCACUGGACCCUUUCUACAAGCACAUAAAUGUUGAUGAUGUACAUGACAAUGAUUGUUACCUAUUUAUCUUAACUGUGACCUUGCUUUGGCAUUUCAGAAACAUUGUAGUUGCUUAUUUGUAUCCUAUACUUUUGGGUGAUUUUACCAGUACCUUGCUUAUGUUUGUACAGUAUUACUGGAUAUCUAAUGGAGCUUUCAUUAUCGUACUGCUUAUUCCACCCCUUGCUUUGCUUUCCCCUUUUCUGGCUGGUCUCGAUGCCCCGUAUUUCUACACUUGGAAUACUACUUCUGUCCCUGUCGAGUUCGAUAUGGAUAUGCCCCAAAAUGUAUUUUUGUUUUGCUAAACAGUUUAAUGCAACUUAGUGAUAAAAUAUGUCUCCUAUUUAUGUACACUUCCUCUCAAUCACCAAUAUGGUCCCAGUUAUCCAUGUUUAUGUAUGUGUUGUCUGCAGGUGGUUAUGUUGGUUUUAUCUUCCGGUUGGUUGUUAGUCCCCUACAAGAGUUGUCACAAUAUGAAAAGGCUCCAAAAGGUGUCACGGUCAGGAAUCUUUUUUCCAGGCAUCCGGUGAUGAUUAGGUAACCAAACCAUAUCACAGGAUGUGUGUUUGUGUGGUCUGGCAAAGUAAUGCUCUUCUUUUGUGAGAAGAGGGCCACAGUACCAAUUGGGCAGACUUUGUCAAGGCGACAGGAAUAAAAGAAUAACAUAUACUCAGAUAAGGAUCUUCGCCUUCAAGAUUAUAAGGGGAAAUUAUUGCUCACUGUCCUGUCCAUACGCUUUAGAAGGAAAUCACAAGUGUAUUUUUCUAUACAAAACCAUUAUGUGAUCAUCUAUAUUACGAACUAUUCACACCAGAUUCAUAUGGAAUGGCACUCAUGGCGGUAGUUGAACCAAAGCUAUCUAUCAGUACGCCUAACUAUGGCUUCGUAGUUUUAGCGCAUCCACUGCCACUGUGUUGGCUUUUGCUCUCUAAUGUAUCUACUUGUACUACUGAACUAAUUAGCUUUUGUAAUAUCAUGGCUGCAUUGAACU